UUUUACUUUGCUCUAAUAAAAAAAAUUAUAAUUUGUUUACUAUGGAAUGGGAGUUAUGCUUUAACCCAGCAUGAAAUUUUGAACAAUAUUAGAAAUAAUAAUUCAGUAAACAAGUAAGUAUAUAACAAAAAAGGUGCCAGCAGUUGCGGUCAUACCUUAAUAUACAUAAUUUUUGUUAGAUAGGAUACACUAAAAAACAAUUAUAAAUAAUGGUAAAAUACAUUUAUUUUUGUAUCUAAAAGUUAGUUAAUUUCUCCUAAACUCUGUAUAAAUAAACUAGGAUUAGAUACCCUACUAUAGAUUAGAGCUCAAGAAUACUAUCUAAGCACUAAAAUCAUAUGAUUAAAACUUAAAGAGCAUGGCGGUAAGUUUUAACUUUAGGGGAACUUACCAGGUAAUAGAUAACACACAAGUUACUCAACUUACGCUUAUAGUUUAUAUAUUGCCGUUGUAAGGUUACAUUUAAAAUUUAACCAAAAAAGACAACAUUUCUGAAAACAGGUCAUGGUGUAGCUUAUAUGUAAGUCUUAAGGUGAGUUACAAUAUAUUAUUAAAGAUAUUCAGGUAAGAUAUUAAAGUUAUCUUAAAUAGGUGGACUUAAAAGUAAUUUUGAAAAUUAAAAAUUGAAUUCAAAAAAACUUGUGCACAAAUCGCCCGUCACUCUCGUUAUUAAAAAGAGAUAAGUCGUAACAUAGUAGAGGUAGCGGAAGCUG
rnacentral:rRNA from 1 species